GGGUUUGUGGCGAAGUUGGUUAUCGCGUUCGCUUCGCAUGUUGUAGCAUACAGCACUCGAAUCAGUGAAAGGCCCCCGGUUCGAUUCCGGGCUGAUCCA
rnacentral:tRNA from 1 species